GGCAGGAUCAGUGAUGACUGACACCAUGGCAUGGUCCCCUCUCCUCUUCACUUUCCUCGCUCAUUGCACAGGUUCCUGGGCUCAGUCUGUGCUGACUCAGCCACCCUCUGUGUCUGGGGCCCUGGGCCAGAUGGUCACCAUCUCCUUCACUGGAAGCAGCUCCAACAUUGGGAGUGCUUUUUAUGUGCACUGGUACCAAAAACUUCCAGGAAGAGCCCCCGGAACCAUCAUCCAUGGUGAUAGACGACGACCCUCUGGGGGGUCGUCUGAUCGAUUCUCUGGCUCCAAGUCUGGCAGCUCAGUCACACUGACUAUCACUGCAGUCCAGGCUGAAGACGAGGCUGAUUACUAUUGUCAGUCCUAUGACAGCAAUCAUGACCUUCUUUUUUAA